rnacentral:lncRNA from 1 species
UCUGGUGAGUUGUGAAGGCUUCACUACUGAUGGCCUUGCUGCUGUUGCUGCUAAUUGUAGGUAAGAAUUUCAGCUGACACUCUUCUCUAGCUUUGUUCUGACUGUUAUUUUGCUGAAAAUGAAGAAAUGAGCUUCAUUUGAAUUCCUUAUUCCUUUGGAAAUUGCUAUUUCUGGUGAAAUUUGGUGUUUAUAAAUGGGUGACUGUUAGGGGAAGCAGGCAGUUCCAUUCUCAGUAUCAGUAUGCCACCAACCUUGUAAGAAGUCUGAUUUUGGAAAGUCAGGUUGGCUUGAAGCAUAACUUACUUAUGAUAACUAAUUUUGGUUCUUCUGAGCCAAAAUUUGUGGUUGUGAAUGAAUGGAAAUUUGUGGUUUGGGUUCCCUGCACUGUGGGAUGGAUUCUUUUUAUUGUUCGUUGUGGUUCCUGGUCUCCUUUUGAUAAACUUCCCCUUUUACUUCCUUUUGAAAGUUCCAUCCUUUGGAUUUUUCUUGUACAUGGGUUCAGUGAUUCUGUCAGCGUGCAUUUUUGCUGUAUUGUUAAGUGCUGAAAGUAAGCUCCUUUAGAUGUUCUUGGUGUGUAUACUAAAGAGACUGAAUGAGUAGAACCUGAUUUGCCUUCACAUUGAACUGGUGACCAAGGGAUAAGCUUUGUUUUGAUAUAGCUGUUUGUUUCUCUCAAUUUUCCAAACCCAGAAAUCUGAAGGAGCUGGACUUGCAAGAGAAUGACGUUG